ACACUCCUGCGGGAGGCAGCAGUGGGGAAUAUUGCACAAUGGGCGCAAGCCUGAUGCAGCCAUGCCGCGUGUGUGAAGAAGGCCUUCGGGUUGUAAAGCACUUUCAGCGGGGAGGAAGGCGAUACGGUUAACAACCGUGUUGAUUGACGUUACCCGCAGAAGAAGCACCGGCUAACUCCGUGCCAGCAGCCGCGGUAAUACGGAGGGUGCAAGCGUUAAUCGGAAUUACUGGGCGUAAAGCGCACGCAGGCGGUCUGUCAAGUCGGAUGUGAAAUCCCCGGGCUCAACCUGGGAACUGCAUUCGAAACUGGCAGGCUGGAGUCUUGUAGAGGGGGGUAGAAUUCCAGGUGUAGCGGUGAAAUGCGUAGAGAUCUGGAGGAAUACCGGUGGCGAAGGCGGCCCCCUGGACAAAGACUGACGCUCAGGUGCGAAAGCGUGGGGAGCAAACAGGAGUAGAAACCCGGGUAGUCCC
rnacentral:rRNA from 1 species